AUAUAUAUAACUUUAAUUUAGAAAAUUUUGAAACUAUAUAUAAAGUAUUAAUUUUAUUAACUAUGUUUACAACAAAUUUAUAUUAAUAACUUAAAAUUUAUAAUUAUACAGCUAAAUAAUUAUUAUACUUUUGUUGUAUUUUUAAUUAAUUAUAUUAUAAUCCAUAUUAUUUAUAUUUUUUAUCAUUCAAAUAUUUGUUCCACAGCGCAUAUCACUUUCUUAUCAUUCAAACUUUAAUAACAACGUGUUUAUCCUAUAAAACCGCACUUGAAUAUACUGUACCAUAACAUCGCCUGAUCCGUUUUUACCAUUCGAAAACUGAGUUUUUUGUUUUCCACAAAAAUUAAUAAAACAACAGUAAGUGCGGUUCAAAAUUAUGCAAAACUUUUAGACUAUUGAUUGAAUCAAAAAGCCUUUUACCAGAUUUAUGUUACAUCGAUGGAACAUCUGCUCUUCCACUGUAGCUACGCGAAAGAGGUGUGGGCUCGAGGUCCUUGGACCUCCGAGUUUAUUGCAACCCAAGACUCCACCCUUGCAAGUACCCUUCAAGCCUCCUAUCUCUGGAAAGCUCUGCCCCCCAUGGUAUCUUGGGCAAAUGUCUUUCCCUCGAUUUGCUGGUAUCUUUGGAUCUCGCGUAACAAAUAUAUUUUUGAAUCAAGAACGAUCCCACCCCAGGAACUGCUUUCACAAGCCAUCAGUGCAAUGAAGGAGUGGGAAUCAGCUCAACCUUUUCGCCCUCCUGUCGCCCACAGUCUGACCUCGUUGAAUCGGAUCGUGCCUAAUUCACCAGAAACCGUUUUCUGUAAUUCUGAUGCGGCUUGGAAAUCGGAAGCCAGAUCGGCUGGGUAGGCCUGGAUUUUCAGCGAUCAAGCAAACACAGAGCUCGCUCGUGCCUCCGCUGCCCAAGAUCAUGUCUCUUCUCCGUGCAUGGCUGAAGCGCUUGCGAUUCGUGAAGCCCUACUUCACGCGGCAUCCCUUAGCUUCUCUCACAUCUGUCUGCGCACAGAUUUACAAGUGCUUGCUCGAGCAAUCAACAGGAGAUCAUCGACGAUGGAACUCUUCGGAAUUCUUUCUGACAUCGACUCCCUUAUCUUCUCUUCAUCUUCCCCCUUUGUUUCCUGCGUUGUUAUUUUCACUAGGGAUCGUUAUCCGCGCCAAGACGCGGAAUUUUUGCAUUUUAAUCUAUUUUUGUCUCUUGCUUACUAAUCUAGCAUUCAGUUUUUCAAUGUAUUUUAUCUUCACCAUCUCCUCUUGUCUUAUUUACAUUUGUUUUCACGUUCUGUCGUUUGAUUUGUCUUAGUUUUGGCUUGUGUAAUAACUUAACCCUGCUCAUUCUUCUUUCAUUCUUUAUUGAUUGAUAUUUUUAUCUCGCUUA